GAUGAACGCUGGCGGCGUGCUUAACACAUGCAAGUCGAACGGAAAGGCCCAAGCUUGCUUGGGUACUCGAGUGGCGAACGGGUGAGUAACACGUGGGUGAUCUGCCCCGCACUUCGGGAUAAGCCUGGGAAACUGGGUCUAAUACCGGAUAGGACAGUGGUUUGGAUGCCAUUGUGGAAAGUUUUUUCGGUGUGGGAUGAGCUCGCGGCCUAUCAGCUUGUUGGUGGGGUAAUGGCCUACCAAGGCGUCGACGGGUAGCUGGCCUCAGAGGGUGUACGGCCACAUUGGGACUGAGAUACGGCCCAGACUCCUACGGGAGGCAGCAGUGGGGAAUAUUGCACAAUGGGCGCAAGCCUGAUGCAGCGACGCCGCGUGGGGGAUGACGGCCUUCGGGUUGUAAACUCCUUUCGCUAGGGACGAAGCGUUAUGUGACGGUACCUAGAGAAGAAGCACCGGCUAACUACGUG
rnacentral:rRNA from 1 species